rnacentral:lncRNA from 1 species
GGGUUGUUGUUCUUCUCCCACUACGUCUUAGGGUUGGUAAUUGCACUGCCCGUGGAGGUUGAAGUUGUGCUCUUUGUGGAGGUAAUAUUAAAUUUUGUAAUGGGAAGGCAGGUGGUGCAUUAUUUAUCCUCAAAAAUGUAGGAGAGAAAGUCACAGACAAAAAGUCGCAAUUCAUGUUUUCUGGAUUAUUUUCUUAGCAUAAAAACGCUUUUUUCUUCAAUUUUU